UGGGGAAUUUUGGACAAUGGGCGCAAGCCUGAUCCAGCAAUGCCGCGUGAGUGAAGAAGGCCUUCGGGUUGUAAAGCUCUUUCAGUCGAGAAGAAAAGGUUGUGACUAAUAAUCAUAACUCAUGACGGUAUCGACAGAAGAAGCACCGGCUAACUACGUGCCAGCAGCCGCGGUAAUACGUAGGGUGCGAGCGUUAAUCGGAAUUACUGGGCGUAAAGGGUGCGCAGGCGGUUCUGUAAGUCAGAUGUGAAAUCCCCGGGCUUAACCUGGGAACUGCGUUUGAAACUACAGGACUAGAGUGUGGCAGAGGGGGGUGGAAUUCCAUGUGCAGCAGUGAAAUGCGUAGAGAUAUGGAAGAACAUCGAUGGCGAAGGCAGCCCCCUGGGUUAACACUGACGCUCAUGCACGAAAGCGUGGGGAGCAAACAGGAUUAGAUACCCUGGUAGUCCCUGAGCGGGCUGGCAAGGCGCAU
rnacentral:rRNA from 1 species